rnacentral:rRNA from 1 species
UACGAAGGGAGCUAGCGUUGUUCGGAAUCACUGGGCGUAAAGCGCACGUAGGCGGAUUUGUCAGUCAGGGGUGAAAUCCCGGGGCUCAACCUCGGAACUGCCUUUGAUACAGCACGUCUCGAGUCCGGAAGAGGUGGGUGGAAUUCCUAGUGUAGAGGUGAAAUUCGUAGAUAUUAGGAAGAACACCAGUGGCGAAGGCGGCUCACUGGCCCGGUACUGACGCUGAGGUGCGAAAGCGUGGGGAGCAAACAGG